ensembl:lncRNA
GUAAAAGGUUCAGCACAUCCCUCUUGCUCCUCAAACGCUUCAAGAGAAAGCUAUGAGGCAAAAGCCAGCUUCUUCCCUCCUCUGCCAAGCCAGUUGAAUUUCAGCGCGAAGUGGUUGGUGAGGAUGUGGCGAAGGAUUCUUCGAACCGCGUCACCAGGAUUGCAGCCCCCAAGCGCACUAAGGUGUGCUGCCUGCAGUAAGGGCCUGGAGGAGGAGGUUGUUCUGCCUCACCAAGGCCUUCAACUCCUCCACAGCACGCAGGAGUGCAUGAUCCCGUUCUACAGGACAGAAAAACAUCAUGACUGUCAUGUCAAGACCCUUUGCUAAAAUUAACAGACUUAAGUUUAAACAGAUUUUCAGUAUUGCUGUGUAAGGCCAGAUGUUUGUGUACCGAAUUGACUUUGAAUGUUGCCA